AGCAGCCGCGGUAAUUCCAGCUCCAAUAGCGUAUAUUAAAGUUGUUGCAGUUAAAAAGCUCGUAGUUGAAUUUCGAGAUCGGCUUACUGGUCGUGCUUUUGUACGUACUGGUAUAAUCGGUUUCUCCUUUCUGACGAACUUUAAUGCCAUUAAUUUGGUGUUUUAGGGAAUCAGGACUGUUACUUUGAAAAAUUAGAGUGUUUAAAGCAGGCUCACGCUUGAAUACAUUAGCAUGGAAUAACGGAAUAGGACGUUUGAUUCUAUUUUGUUGGUUUCUAGGAUCGACGUAAUGAUUAAUAGGGAUAGUUGGGGCAUUAGUAUUCAAUUGUCAGAGGUGAAAUUCUUGGAUUUAUUGAAGACUAACUACUGCGAAAGCAUUUGCCAAGGAUGUUUUCAUUAAUCAAGAACGAAGUUAGGGAUCGAAGACGAUCAGAUACCGUCGUAGUCUUAACCAUAAACUAU
rnacentral:rRNA from 1 species